UGAAGUAAGUAAGGGCGUACGGUGAAUGCCUUGGUGCCAACAGGCGAAGAAGGACGCGGCAAGCUGCGAAAAGCCUCGGGAAGCUGCAAGCAAGCGAUGAUCCGGGGAUAUCCGAAUGGGGUAACCUGAUCGAGGCAAUACUCGAUCGUUCAUACCUGAAUACAUAGGGUAUGAAACGCGAAACCCGCUGAAGUGAAACAUCUCAGUAAGCGGAGGAAAAGAAAGAGAAAUCGAUUCCGUAAGUAGUGGCGAGCGAAAGCGGAUGGAGCCCAAACCGAAGGUAUUCCUUCGGGGUUGUAGGACCACGUCAUAUUCGACCAUACUGGAUAGUAGAACAGCCUGGAAAGGCUGGCCGUAGAAGGUGAAAGCCCUGUAGACGAAAUCCAGAGUGGGAAUUAGUGGUAUCCUGAGUAAUACAUCACACGUGGAACGAUGUAUGAACCCGCGCGGACCACCGCGCAAGGCUAAAUACUAGUUGGCGACCGAUAGUGAACAAGUACCGCGAGGGAAAGGUGAAAAGAACCGCUGUGAGCGGAGUGAAAUAGAACCUGAAACCGUAUGUCUACAAAGUGUCAGAGCAGAGCAAUCUGCGAUGGCGUGCCUUUUGUUUAAUGAGUCUGCGAGUCAGUGUUUGUGGCAAGACUAAGGGCUUCCGGCCCGGAGUCGCAGCGAAAGCAAGUCCGAACAGGGCGCAACAAGUCGCAGGUACUGGACCCGAAGCGGAGGUGACCUACCCUUGGCCAGGUUGAAGCAUGGGUAAAACCAUGUGGAGGACCGAACAGGUGAACGUUGAAAAGUUCUCUGAUGAGCUGAGGGUAGGAGUGAAAGGCUAAUCAAACCCCGUGAUAGCUGGUUCUCUUCGAAAUGCAUUUAGGUGCAGCGUCACGUGCUGAUGCGCGGGGGUAGAGCACUGACAAGGCUAGGGGGCACACCCGCUUACCAAACCUUAUCAAACUCCGAAUACCGUGCAAUGGAACGUGGCAGUGAGACAGUGGGGGAUAAGCUUCAUUGUCGAGAGGGAAACAACCCAGACCAGCAGCUAAGGUGCCUAAAUAACGCUCAGUGGAAAGGAUGUGGGAUUACACAGACAGUGAGGAUGUUGGCUUAGAAGCAGCCACCAUUUAAAAAAUGCGUAAUAGCUUACUCAUCGAGUGAUCCUGCGCCGAAAAUGAUUGGCGAUCAAGCGUUAUACCGAAGCUCUGGACUUUGCCGCAAGGCAGAGUGGUAGAAGAGCGUUGCAUGCGCGUCGAAGGGCGAUGGCGACUGACCCUGGAGCACAUGCAAGUGAGUAUGCAGACAUGAGUAACGUUAAGCCGGGUGAAAUCCCCGGCCGCCGUAAACCCGAGGUUUCCAGGGCAACGUGUUUCGUCCCUGGGUUAGCCGGGACCUAAGCCGAGGCCGAGAGGCGUAGGCGAUGGACAUCAGGUUAAUAAUCCUGAGCUCGCAACCCUUAAACUGGGGGGACGCAUGAGAAAAGAUGACUAGGUUAUUGAAUUCCGAGUUGAGUCCACGGACUCAGCGCAUCAUUGGAUCGAGUGCCAAGAAAAGCCCCAGCGUAUGCUAAGCGACCCGUACCGCAAACCGACACAGGUGGGUGGGUAGAAUAUACCAAGGCGUAAGAGUGAAACCUGGUUAAGGAACUCGGCAAAUUAGCCCCGUAACUUCGGAAGAAGGGGUGCCUGCAGCGAUGCAGGCCGCAGAGAAAUGGCCCAACCGACUGUUUAUCAAAAACACAGCACUCUGCAAAGACGCAAGUCGAAGUAUAGGGUGUGACACGUGACCAAUGCCGAAAGAUUAAGGCAAGGGGUUAGCCGCAAGGCGAAGCUCUAAACCCAAGUCCCGGUGAAUGUCGGCCGUAACUAUAACGGUCCUAAGGUAGCGAAAUUCCUUGUCGGGUAAGUUCCGACCUGCACGAAUGG
rnacentral:rRNA from 1 species